rnacentral:rRNA from 1 species
GACGAACGCUGGCGGCGUGCUUAACACAUGCAAGUCGAGCGGAGCGGCGAACGGGUGAGUAACGCGUGAGUAACUGCACCCCUCUCUGGGAUAACAGUUGGAAACGGCUGCUAAUACCGGAUAGUGGGGGAUGACUCGCGUCCUAUCGGCUUGUUGGUGGGGUAGUGGACUACCAAGGCGACGACGGGUAGGCGGCCUGAGAGGGCGACCGGCCACCGUGGGCUUGCCUACGGCCCAAACGACUACGGGAGGCAGCAGUGGGGAAUAUUGCACAAUGGGGGAAACCAUGAUGCAGCAACGCCGCGGGCUGGAUGACGGCCUUCGGGUUGUAAACCGCUUUCAGCCAUGACGCGGUAGUGGCAGAAGAAGCACCGGCUAACUACGUGCCAGCAGCCGCGGUAAUUC